rnacentral:rRNA from 1 species
GAAAAGCCCCCGGCUCAACCGGGGAGGGUCAUUGGAAACUGGGGAACUUUGAGUGCAGAAGAGGAGAGUGGAAUUCCACGUGUAGCGGUGAAAUGCGUAGAGAUGUGGAGGAACACCAGUGGCGAAGGCGACUCUCUGGUCUGUAACUGACGCUGAGGAGCGAAAGCGUGGGGAGCGAACAGGAUUAGAUACCCUGGUAGUCCACGCCGUAAACGAUGAGUGCUAAGUGUUAGGGGGUUUCCGCCCCUUAGUGCUGCAGCUAACGCAUUAAGCACUCCGCCUGGGGAGUACGGUCGCAAGACUGAAACUCAAAGGAAUUGACGGGGGCCCGCACAAGCGGUGGAGCAUGUGGUUUAAUUCGAAGCAACGCGAAGAACCUUACCAGGUCUUGACAUCCUCUGACAAUCCUAGAGAUAGGACGUCCCCUUCGGGGGCAGAGUGACAGGUGGUGCAUGGUUGUCGUCAGCUCGUGUCGUGAGAUGUUGGGUUAAGUCCCGCAACGAGCGCAACCCUUGAUCUUAGUUGCCAGCAUUCAGUUGGGCACUCUAAGGUGACUGCCGGUGACAAACCGGAGGAAGGUGGGGAUGACGUCAAAUCAUCAUGCCCCUUAUGACCUGGGCUACACACGUGCUACAAUGGACAGAAC